rnacentral:rRNA from 1 species
UACGGAGGGUGCAAGCGUUGUUCGGAAUCAUUGGGCGUAAAGCGCGUGUAGGCGGCCGAUUAAGUCGGGUGUGAAAGCUCGGGGCUCAACCCCGAAACUGCAUUCGAUACUGGUUGGCUUGAGUGUCGGAGGGGAAAGCGGAAUUCCUGGUGGAGCGGUGAAAUGCGUAGAGAUCAGGAAGAACACCAGUGGCGAAGGCGGCUUUCUGGACGACAACUGACGCUGAGACGCGAAAGCGUGGGUAGCAAACAGG